rnacentral:lncRNA from 1 species
GAUGUCCCCAAUGGGAUGUCCCCAAGGGGGUGGCCCUGGGGGUGACCCCAAUGGGGUGACCUCAGUGGGGAUGUCCCCAAGAUGUCCCCAAGGUGAUGGCGCCAACGGGAUGUCCCCAAUGGGGUGGCCUUGGGGGUGUCCCCAGUGCGGUGACCCUAAUGGAGUGACCCCAAUGGGGGAUGUCCCCAAAGGGGUGACCCUAAUGGAGGAUGUCCCCAAGGAGGUGGCCCUGAUGGCGGUGACCCUGAGGGUGUCCCCAAGGUGAUGUCCCCAGUGGGGUGGCCCUGGGGAUGUCCCCAAUGGGGUGACCUCAGUGGGGAUGUCCCCAAGAUGUCCCCAAGGUGAUGGCACCAAUGGGAUGUCCCCAAUGGGGUGACCCCAUGGAUGUCCCCAAGGGCUGGCCCUGUCCCCACCGGGAUGUCCCCACUGGGGUAACCACAUGGAUGUCCCCAAGGGGAUGGCCCUGUCCCCACCGGGAUGUCCCCACUGGGGU